GUGACGGAGCGACGCCGCGUGGGCGAUGAAGGCCUUCGGGUUGUAAAGUCCUGUCACCUAUUAUGAAUGGCGGGCGGUGAAUAGCUGUCCCGUUUGACGUAAGUAGGAGAGGAAGCACCGGCUAAAUACGUGCCAGCAGCCGCGGUAAUACGUAUGGUGCGAACGUUGUUCGGAUUCACUGGGCAUAAAGAGCGCGUAGGCGGUUGGGUAAGUCCAAUGUGAAAUCCCCCGGCUCAACCGGGGAAUUGCAUCGGAUACUGCCGGACUAGAGCGCAGGAGGGGAGAGCGGAAUUCCUGGUGGAGCGGUGAAAUGCGUAGAUAUCAGGAGGAACGCCGGUGGCGAAAGCGACUCUCUGGCCUGCUACUGACGCUGAGGCGCGAAAGCUAGGGGAGCGAACGGGAUUAGAUACCCCGGUAGUCCUAGCCCUAAACGAUGGGCACUAAGUAGAGGGGUUUU
rnacentral:rRNA from 1 species